ACAGAUCGUUCAGAGUUUGAUCCUGGCUCAGGAUGAACGCUGGCGGCGUGCUUAACACAUGCAAGUCGAGCGAAGCGCUUAAGUUUGAUUCUUCGGAUGAAGACUUUUGUGACUGAGCGGCGGACGGGUGAGUAACGCGUGGGUAACCUGCCUCAUACAGGGGGAUAACAGUUAGAAAUGACUGCUAAUACCGCAUAAGACCACAGGGUCGCAUGACCCGGUGGUAAAAACUCCGGUGGUAUGAGAUGGACCCGCGUCUGAUUAGCUAGUUGGUGGGGUAACGGCUCACCAAGGCGACGAUCAGUAGCCGACCUGAGAGGGUGACCGGCCACAUUGGGACUGAGACACGGCCCAA
rnacentral:rRNA from 1 species